rnacentral:rRNA from 1 species
AGGGGGAUAACGUCUUGAAAAGGACGCUAAUACCGCAUGACAUCUCGCGACCGCAUGGUUGUGAGAUCAAAGGAGCAAUCCGCUGAGAGAUGGACUCGCGUCCGAUUAGCCAGUUGGCGGGGUAACGGCCCACCAAAGCAACGAUCGGUAGCCGGACUGAGAGGUUGAACGGCCACAUUGGGACUGAGACACGGCCCAGACUCCUACGGGAGGCAGCAGUGGGGGAUAUUGCACAAUGGGGGAAACCCUGAUGCAGCAACGCCGCGUGAAGGAUGAAGGUCUUCGGAUUGUAAACUUUUGUCCUAUGGGAAGAAGAAAGUGACGGUACC